CGAGCGAACGGACGAGAAGCUUGCUUCUCUGAUGUUAGCGGCGGACGGGUGAGUAACACGUGGAUAACCUACCUAUAAGACUGGGAUAACUUCGGGAAACCGGAGCUAAUACCGGAUAAUAUUUUGAACCGCAUGGUUCAAAAGUGAAAGACGGUCUUGCUGUCACUUAUAGAUGGAUCCGCGCUGCAUUAGCUAGUUGGUAAGGUAACGGCUUACCAAGGCAACGAUGCAUAGCCGACCUGAGAGGGUGAUCGGCCACACUGGAACUGAGACACGGUCCAGACUCCUACGGGAGGCAGCAGUAGGGAAUCUUCCGCAAUGGGCGAAAGCCUGACGGAGCAACGCCGCGUGAGUGAUGAAGGUCUUCGGAUCGUAAAACUCUGUUAUUAGGGAAGAACAUAUGUGUAAGUAACUGUGCACAUCUUGACGGUACCUAAUCAGAAAGCCACGGCUAACUACGUGCCAGCAGCCGCGGUAAUACGUAGGUGGCAAGCGUUAUCCGGAAUUAUUGGGCGUAAAGCGCGCGUAGGCGGUUUUUUAAGUCUGAUGUGAAAGCCCACGGCUCAACCGUGGAGGGUCAUUGGAAACUGGAAAACUUGAGUGCAGUAGAGGAAAGUGGAAUUCCAUGUGUAGCGGUGAAAUGCGCAGAGAUAUGGAGGAACACCAGUGGCGAAGGCGACUUUCUGGUCUGUAACUGACGCUGAUGUGCGAAAGCGUGGGGAUCAAAC
rnacentral:rRNA from 1 species